GUAAUACUUAGGAAUCUACCUAGUAGUGGGGGAUAGCUCGGGGAAACUCGAAUUAAUACCGCAUACGACCUACGGGAGAAAGGGGGCAACUUGUUGCUCUCGCUAUUAGAUGAGCCUAAGUCGGAUUAGCUAGAUGGUGGGGUAAAGGCCUACCAUGGCGACGAUCUGUAGCUGGUCUGAGAGGAUGAUCAGCCACACCGGGACUGAGACACGGCCCGGACUCCUACGGGAGGCAGCAGUGGGGAAUAUUGGACAACGGGGGAAACCCUGAUCCAGCCAUGCCGCGUGUGUGAAGAAGGCCUUUUGGUUGUAAAGCACUUUAAGCAGUGAAGAAGACUCUUCGGUUAAUACCCGGAGACGAUGACAUUAGCUGCAGAAUAAGCACCGGCUAACUCUGUGCCAGCAGCCGCGGUAAUACAGAGGGUGCAAGCGUUAAUCGGAAUUACUGGGCGUAAAGCGAGCGUAGGUGGCUUGAUAAGUCAGAUGUGAAAUCCCCGGGCUUAACCUGGGAACUGCAUCUGAUACUGUCAGGCUAGAGUAGGUGAGAGGAAGGUAGAAUUCCAGGUGUAGCGGUGAAAUGCGUAGAGAUCUGGAGGAAUACCGAUGGCGAAGGCAGCCUUCUGGCAUCAUACUGACACUGAGGCU
rnacentral:rRNA from 1 species